AGCGAACGCUGGCGUCAGGCCUAACACAUGCAAGUCGAGCGCCCAGCAAUGGGAGCGGCAGUCGCGUGAGUCACGCGUGGGGAUCUGCCCAAUGGUACGGAAUAACCCAGGUAAACUUGGAUUAAUACCGUAUGUGCCCUUCGGGGGGAAGAUUAAUCGGCAUUGGAUGAACCCGUGUCGGAUUAGCUAGUUGGUGUGGUAAAGGCGCACCAAGGCGACGAUCCGUCGCUGGACUGAGAGGAUGAUCAGCCACACUGGUACUGAGACACGGCCCAGACUCCUACGGGAGGCAGCAGUGGGGAAUAUUGGACAAUGGGCGCAAGCCUGAUCCAGCCAGGCCGCGUGUGUGAUGAAGGCCUUAGGGUUGUAAAGCACUUUCGCCGGUGAAGAUAAUGACGGUAACCGGAGAAGAAGCCCCGGCUAACUUCGUGCCAGCCGCCGCCGUAAAAC
rnacentral:rRNA from 1 species